AAAGACUUAGUCCUAACCUUACAGUUGGUUUUUGCUAGACAUAUACAUGCAAGUAUCCGCGCCCCAGUGUAAAUGCCCUCAAUAGCCUUCACCCCAGGCUUAAGGAGCGGGUAUCAGGCACACCAAGCAGUAGCCCAAGACGCUUGCUUGCUAAGCCAACGCCCCCACGGGUAUUCAGCAGUAGUUAACAUUAAGCAAUGAGUGCAAACUCGACUUAGUCAUAGCAAGCCUCCACCCAAGGGUCGGUAAAUCUUGUGCCAGCCACCGCGG
rnacentral:rRNA from 1 species